rnacentral:lncRNA from 1 species
CGCAGAGUCUCACAGUCAGACGCUGGAAGAUACUACUGUAAUGGAGAAACAGUGGAACUGACCGUAACAAAAAAUGUGCCCACUGUUGGCCAACCUCAGGAGCACACCUAUGACUCCAUUAACGACGCUGGAGCAGCUCCACAACCUGAGGUUCUACAUGUUAAGGGAAUAGAGGGAAACAUUGCCGUUCUUCGUUGUGGAAAACUCAGUAAAGGUAGCGUAACCUGGAGCAGAGAAAUUAACGGACAGAA